rnacentral:rRNA from 1 species
GAGGCAGCAGAGCAUCCUACGGGAGGCAGCAGUAGGGAAUCUUCCGCAAUGGGCGAAAGCCUGACGGAGCAACGCCGCGUGAGUGAUGAAGGUUUUCGGAUCGUAAAGCUCUGUUGCCAGGGAAGAACGUUCUCUAGAGUAACUGCUGCAGCCGCGAUCGUACGUAGACAGACCCCCAACC